CUGUGAAUAAAGUCACAGUUCUGAUUUUGUAAUAAUCAGGACAGGCUAAACAUUUGCUGUAUUAAUACCAAGCAUGUGGUCCCAGACCUAGUUCUUUUUCUGGGUCUGGUUUUAUGAAUGCUGGUAAUAAAC